GGCCAUGUGGCCCAAUGGCAAGGCGCUUGACUACGAUGCAGUAAAUCAAGAGAUUCCAGGUCAGUAUUGUCUAAUCCCCUGUUAUCACGUGAUCGUGCUAAAAUCGCAUCAGGUUCGACCCCUGGCAUGGUCA